GCAGGAUGUCAGCGGUUCGAGUCCGCUAA
rnacentral:tRNA from 2 species